GUUGCUGUUGUGGCCAUCGCCAUCACCGUGAGUGAAGUCCGCCGCUGUUACCUGAAUCUCUGCCGCCGUGGGUAUUACCGUUGGAGUCGCUGGGAACCAAUGUUGGAGCUGCCCUUGAUGAUUCUGAUGCUGCUACGUAGGUUCGGAGCUGCUUUGUUGUUGCCGGAGGAAGGGAACUCAUCAGAAAAAUGUUAUUGAGGCUGAUGUUUGGUUUGAUUGUGUAGUUAAUGCGACAUUGAGGUAGGGGAUUUAACGUUUUUAAUUUAGAAUGCCCACCAAGUUAUUUGAAUAAGUGCAAAUGGUUAACAAUGGUUUAGAAUUUCUUAAUUGUCAUGAAUGACCUGAAAUGCAUUUGAAAUUUGUUAGUUGUUGUGAAUAUUUUGAGCUGUGACUGGAAUUAAAUGUGGCUGUGAAUGGUGAUUCAUUUGAUAAU